CUGGGCUGAGAUCCGCAGCCUGGUUACGGUGGAUUACCUUGGUAACAGGAAGCGGCAAACGGGGAGUCCAUUAUUCAGCUGUUUGCCCGGGACGCGCUCUGCCAGCUAACAGGAUUACACAGAGAGCUGCCGGCAGGACGAGCCCGCCGCCAGAACACAAGCCAGAGCGGCGCAGCGACCGGUUUGGUUCAUGCUGUCUGAGUCCAGUAACAGGAAGAGUUUCGGUUUGGUUUCUGACUGCAGCAACAAACAGCUGGUUCUCGAGAGGAUCAGAGGCGACUGAAGAGGUUGUGGUUUCUCUCCACGUGCUGAGGGGAUUAAUGAGGUGGAGAAUGAAGACGCGGCUUCCUGCAGCGGUUGGAGGGUUUACCGGCUGCACUCAUCCCACGUUAACAGCUGUUCCACCAAAACCACGAGUCUGCAGCGCUGCCACUCACAGGAAGCACAAACCUAAUCUCGUUUCACCUGAACUGCUGAAUUCUGGGAAAUGGAAAAAAACUGGACUCAACGCGCUGGUUCUCCUCUCUGGAUGUGAGAGUUCUGAACGCUGAUUACUCUUUUAAAGAGUGUUUGAUGUUGCUGAAGGGACGAAGUGAACUCCGCCUCCCUCGACUCUAAUUAUCUCAUUCAUCGCCGGCUGCUGGGAAGUUUUAUUUUAUUAGACCUGAGAACCUUUGUUUGUUUCCAGCAGAAAAUCCAACAGGUUCAGGUCCUUUUAGAUGUUGUGAAUAAUAAAGUCGGUGCGCCACCUGCUGGUUGGUUGUGAAGACGGCAGCGUCUCCUAGAAAUUGAGAUUCUGUUAGUUUCAACAGCAAAAUGUUUGCAAGCCGCCUGAAUCACCUUCAGCA